GUCUCCGUGGCUCAAUCAGUCAGCGCGUUCGUUUGUUAAACAAAAGGUUAAUGGUUCGAGCCCACCUGGGGACG
rnacentral:tRNA from 1 species